rnacentral:rRNA from 1 species
UACGUAGGUGGCUAGCGUUGUCCGGAUUUACUGGGCGUAAAGGGCGCGUAGGCGGUUCGUCAAGUCCUGUGUGAAAUCCCCCGGCUCAACUGGGGAACUGCACAGGAAACUAGCGGGCUUGAGUUCGGGAGAGGGAAGCGGAAUUCCGGGUGUAGCGGUGAAAUGCGUAGAUAUCCGGAGGAACACCGGUGGCGAAGGCGGCUUCCUGGACCGACACUGACGCUGAGGCGCGAAAGCUAGGGGAGCAAACGGG